CCUACGGGCGGCAGCAGUGGGGAAUAUUGGACAAUGGGCGAAAGCCUGAUCCAGCCAUGCCGCGUGUGUGAAGAAGGCCUUCGGGUUGUAAAGCACUUUCAGUGGGGAAGAAAGCCUUGGGGCUAAUACCCUCGAGGAAGGACAUCACCCACAGAAGAAGCACCGGCUAACUCCGUGCCAGCAGCCGCGGUAAUACGGAGGGUGCGAGCGUUAAUCGGAAUUACUGGGCGUAAAGCGCGCGUAGGCGGUCUGAUAAGCCGGUUGUGAAAGCCCCGGGCUCAACCUGGGAACGGCAUCCGGAACUGUCAGGCUAGAGUGCAGGAGAGGAAGGUAGAAUUCCCGGUGUAGCGGUGAAAUGCGUAGAGAUCGGGAGGAAUACCAGUGGCGAAGGCGGCCUUCUGGACUGACACUGAUGCUGAGGUGCGAAAGCGUGGGUAGCAAACAGGAUUAGAUACCCGGUAGUC
rnacentral:rRNA from 1 species